GAAUAAAGCACGCCGGCUGAGUCAGCAGCGGCAACCCGCUAGGGUCCCUUUCCAUGUUGUGGAAGCUUUUUUCUUUCGCUCUUCACAAUAAAUCUUGUUGCUGCCCACUCUUUGGGUCCAUGCCAGCUUUUAUGAGCUGUAACACUCACCUCGAAGGUCUGCAGCUUCACUCCUGAAGUCAGCCAACCACAAACCCGCCAGAAGGAAGAAACUCCAGACACGUCCGAACAUGGGAAGGAACAAACUCUAGACACACCAUCUUUAAGAACUGUAACACUCACCACCAGGGUCCGCGGCUUCAUUCUUGAAGUCAGCGAGACCAAGAACCCACCAAUUCCGGACGCAAGCUGGUUAUUUUGAGAAACUCCAGACACAGGAGUAGCUCUGAAAACAAGGAUGAAGGUUGCCCUUUGAGAAAUGAUGGUAUUUCAGCCUGAAGUCUAAGACUAAGAUCUACUCUAGAGAUUUACUAAUUUCUCUGGAUUAUCACCAAUGUAUACAAG
rnacentral:lncRNA from 10 species